rnacentral:rRNA from 1 species
UACGUAGGUCCCGAGCGUUGUCCGGAUUUAUUGGGCGUAAAGCGAGCGCAGGUGGUUUAUUAAGUCAGAGGUGAAAGGCUACGGCUCAACCGUAGUAAGCCUUUGAAACUGGGAAACUUGAGUGCAGGAGAGGAGAGUGGAAUUCCUAGUGUAGCGGUGAAAUGCGUAGAUAUUAGGAGGAACACCAGUUGCGAAGGCGGCUCUCUGGACUGUAACUGACACUGAGGCACGAAAGCGUGGGGAGCAGACAGG